rnacentral:lncRNA from 1 species
CCUGCAGGCCUAGGUACUGGGGCAAUGGGCGGGCGGCAUGGAGAGCCACUGGCCAGGCCCAGCGCCGUGUGUGCUGGCCCCAGGGGGACCUGGGGGCAGAUGGGCCUGCUUCUUCUCUUUAAACACGUGAAAUACGUUCCUUAUUUUAAAAAUCAGAAAACAGAAGUAAGACUGUGUUGCCAGCAGCAACACCCGGACAGCAAGUGGCUCUUCCUGCUGGGCGCAGCCCUCGGCCAUUUUUCUUUCUGCGUCAGCACCACGCAGUCGCUAAUUUCCUGUGUGGCCUGCGAGUUUCCACACACACAGCUCCUCUGGCCAAGCCCCCUGCCGACCCCGAGGGGUUCCCCGGUGCCUGCCCCUGCCCAUGGGUCCUGCUGCUCCCUCAGGAGACCUGGAAGUGUGAGUGCUGGGUCCAGGGUGCGGGGCCUUCCAGGGCCGGGCGCCUGAGCCCCACACCUGCUCGGCCAGGUGUGCAGGACGUGUGUGCAGCAAAGGUGGAGCCGCUCCCCACCUCCGACCUGCGUGCAUUUCUGCGGAGUCACUGUGUCUGAGGGGUGCCUCCCGCGUCACUCUCCAGCCUGCUUUGGGCUUAGGCCUGGAGACCUGGACACAGGCCCAGCCUAGGUGGACUUCAGGGUAGGUGGGUGGCUGAGCUGGGGCGGUGAGACCAUCCUCCGACUGUGAGGACCACCACAGUCCAGCAGGGUGGUUGGAGCACUGGGUGCUUGGCCUCCUGCCCUCUGGGUCUUUCUGGGAGGAGCCGGUGGGGUUUGGGGUGGCCAGACCAGACAUACCGCGUAGAAGCAACUGCAGGCAGGCGGCCAGGGACGGGACUCCUGCGGGCAGCAGCUCGCACAGCAC